rnacentral:hammerhead_ribozyme from 1 species
AUCCAGCUGACGUGUGCCAAAAUAAGUCGAAAUGCACAUCCUGGAU